UGGGCUCAUUAUGCAUGUUAAAGGCCCAAGAUUAUCCUUCGACUUCGUCUUCUCCUUUCCUCUUCGUCAAAUCUCCGUUACUGAGUUCGUUUCACCUUCUUCUCUUUCUCCUUCGUUAUAAACCACUUUGUCUUAAGUUGCUUUCAUUCAAUCCCGAAAACCUCCUCUCAAGAAGUUGAAACUAUAGCGAUGAAACCAAAGGGCAAGUUCACUUGCUG
rnacentral:lncRNA from 1 species